CGCGUCGGCAAUGACCACCACCGCACCGGUGGCAUCCGUAGGCGUGCGUGCCUCGACGGCAUCCGUAGGCGCGUCGUCGGGCACCGCCUCGGGUCGCCCCUCGCUCAUCCUCUCCUUUUUCCCAGUCGCUUGCAGCACUCUUUUUUUUCUUUUCCUUUUUCCUGUUUGCGCACUUGGCUGCUUGUCUUGGGCCUUUUUCUCUCUCUCUCUCUCUCUCUCUCGCUGUCUGUCUGUCUCUUUCUUUCGACUUGGCACUCGCGUCGAGGACCGGCCACACUUUAUGCCAAGACCAAAAACCAACGAUC
rnacentral:lncRNA from 1 species